rnacentral:rRNA from 1 species
UACGAACCGUGCGAACGUUGUUCGGAAUCACUGGGCUUAAAGGGCGCGUAGGCGGGCCGGCUAGUCCGGGGUGAAAGCCCCCAGCUCAACUGGGGAAGCGCCUUGGAUACUGCCGGCCUCGAGGGGGGUAGGGGCGCGCGGAACUUCCGGUGGAGCGGUGAAAUGCGUAGAUAUCGGAAGGAACACCGGUGGCGAAAGCGGCGCGCUGGGCCCCUUCUGACGCUGAGGCGCGAAAGCCAGGGGAGCAAACGGG